CGUGAACCUCAUCUCCUUCUUCUCUCUUUUCUGAAAAGUCAGCUCUCUCUCUCUCUUUCGGUUUCUUCUCUCUCUUUCUCACACUCUCUAAGCUCCGAGAGCUUCUCUCUAGCUUUCACCUCACUUCCCUCACAAAUCAAACCCCAAAAACCAUAUAUUUGGAAUCCUUGAGACCUAACAAACUCAAUGGUACCCUUGCAUGCGCCAUAUGAGCACCGUGGGUUUUUCUGCCAUUGAAGCCGAGAGCUUCAAAGCUCUAAAACUCGAACCCAGGUGAAGUUGCUAGUGGAGACUUCCUUAAUCAUUUUCCGCACAAUUCUGCUGCUUCGGAGUAUCUGUCUUAGAAACGAGGCAUAGAAUCCCGGCAUUAAGGUACUUCCGCAGCGGCAUCUUCGAGUCCUCUCGGGGUAGGACCCACUCCUUUGUUCAUUCAAUCUUAUCCUAAUUCUUGUUAGUGACUAGGUUUAGCUGUAUGCUCUGAACACGUUUCUAAAUUGUUAAUUCA